CCUACGGGUGGCAGCAGUGAGGAAUAUUGGUCAAUGGACGGAAGUCUGAACCAGCCAUGCCGCGUGCAGGAUGACGGCUCUAUGAGUUGUAAACUGCUUUUGUACGAGAAUAAUAGUUCUUACGUGUAGGGCUUUGUAUGUAUCCUACGAAUAAGGAUCGGCUAACUCCGUGGCACCGGCCGCGGUAAUACGGAGGAUUCGAGCGUUAUCCGGAUUUAUUGGGUUUAAAGGGUGCGUAGGCUGGCGGGUAAGUUAGGGGUCAAAGGUCGGGGCUUAACCCCGUGCCUGCCUCUGAUACUGGUGGACUGGAGGGCGGAGGGGGCAGGCGGAAUGAGUGGUGGAGCGGUGAAAUGCUUAGAUAUGACUGAG
rnacentral:rRNA from 1 species